ACGUACAAGAUUGUUGGAAACAAGGGUGCUUACGCAGUAAUGAUUAACUAUAUCUGAAUGCCGGCCUCACGUGUACUAAAAAUAAGAUUAAAGAAUAAAAAAUAAAAAAAAUAAAAACCUCCUAUACGAGUGUAACUGAUAUAAGAGAAGAAAAAAAAAGUAGAAAAGAAAAAAAGAAAAGUCCAACAUGUCAACCCUGGAAUGGAGAAAGAAACAAUGCUGCCGCGCCGCACAGCAGUAAGCACACCAGCUGGCCGCCACUUGGCCUCCGCGCGCUGUCUUGUCAUGCGUGUGAACUUUAAUCGGAUCCACUUUCCCUCUACUGCAGGAUGUAACACCUUUCUGCUUUGUGGGAUAAUACAUGAUAAAAUAAGAUAAACGAACAUUGCUCUAUAUAAACUGAAGGUUCUGAAAAAAAAUGAAAAUACAGAGAAGAAAAUUAAAUCCAUUACUGUAGCUGUGGUGCAGAAAUAAACUGAAAUUCCUGUGUAAAGUAAACGAUGUGAAAAUUUAAUGAAGCAGAAACAUUAUUAUUCAUACAUAGACUGCACGCCGUACCUAGAGGCAAGAAAAUAAGAAUGAAAUUAAGCACUGUUGAAAAGACAAAGACAUACUUCAGUAUAUCAACCACUUGUGAAGGUAUGAAGUGUGUUGUUGUCAGUGAAGAGUUUUAAAAGAAAUUACAUUACAUGCAGCAUUAAUGUUGUAGAAAAGUGUUAUAAACCAGAAAUAAAUUACGUAUCCUAUCACCACCACCACCACUGCUACUGCUACUACGACGACUGCUACUACUACUGCAGCUGUUACUACUGACUGUGGAAUUAAGCAGGCAGAGGCAUGGUGAGGGAGGAUGUUCCUGCUGCUGCUGGCCACCAUCGUUCCAGGCGUGUGUGGCUGAGUAUGGGGCGCGCCCUGCACUGUUGGGCAAGAGUGGUGGAAAGAUUCACUGCAUGGCGUGGAUUCUCCUCUGAGUUCAUUAUGGGCACCUACUGCAUGUGUGGCUACUUCCAUUGGCCACCACCACCACCACCACCACCACCACCACCACCACCACCAUCAUUGCCACACUGAAGUCUUCCUGCCAGACGGCCUGCCUGGAGACAUUACACCGCCAUCACCAAAAGCUCGCAUGUCAUUUCUGUAUUUGUCCAACCACUCCUCUGAGACCAAUUUUUUGAAACGCUUUGUUCUUUCAUAAGGAACUAUCUUCAAAAGCUAUAAAUUAUUAGACAGGUUUUUACAGAUGUUUUCUUUUUUUUCAUAU